UUUAAACAAUUUUUCUUUUCUAGGGAAGGCAAUGACCCAGGUGAUAAUGGCAAAAUUACAUAUAAUGAGCUUCUUGUGCAAGUCAGCAAGUUUGCAAAUGUUUUGAAGAAAUUAGGUGUGAACAAAGGAGAUCGUGUUGCCAUAUACAUGCCUAUGAUUGUAGAAUUGGUUAUAUGCAUGCUAGCUUGUGCUCGCAUCGGAGCUGUUCACUCUAUUGUGUUUGCAGGGUUUUCAGCCGAAUCUCUGAGUGAUCGUAUACUUGAUGCCAAUUGUUGUGCUCUGGUGACAGCUGAUGGUGUGUGGAGAGGUUCCAAGUUAUUGAAUCUCAAAUCUAUUGUUGAUAGAGCUUUAGAAAUAUGUAAAGACAA
rnacentral:sRNA from 1 species